rnacentral:rRNA from 1 species
CCUACGGGCGGCAGCAGUGGGGAAUAUUGCGCAAUGGGCGAAAGCCUGACGCAGCGACGCCGCGUGAGGGAUGAAGGUCUUCGGAUCGUAAACCUCUGUCAGCAGGGAAGAACGGUCACUGUGCUAUUCAGCAGUGAAUUGACGUUACCUGCAAAGGAAGCACCGGCUAACUCCGUGCCAGCAGCCGCGGUAAUACGGAGGGUGCGAGCGUUAAUCGGAAUUAUUGGGCGUAAAGCGCUCGUAGGCGGUAUGUCAAGUCAAGGGUGAAAGCCCCGCGCUCAACGUGGGAAUUGCCUUUGAAACUGGCAGACUGGAGUGUAGGAGAGGAAAGUGGAAUUCGAGGUGUAGGGGUGAAAUGCGUAGAUAGCUGGAAGAACAUCGGUGGCGAAGGCGACCAUCUGGCACAUAACUGACGCUGAGGAGCGAAAGCGUGGGUAGCAAACAGGAUUAGAUACCCCUGUAGUC